UACGUAGGGUGCGAGCGUUGUCCGGAAUUAUUGGGCGUAAAGGGCUCGUAGGCGGUUUGUCGCGUCGGGAGUGAAAACUCAGGGCUUAACCCUGAGCCUGCUUCCGAUACGGGCAGACUAGAGGUAUGCAGGGGAGAACGGAAUUCCUGGUGUAGCGGUGAAAUGCGCAGAUAUCAGGAGGAACACCGAUGGCGAAGGCAGGUCUCUGGGCAUUAACUGACGCUGAGGAGCGAAAGCAUGGGGAGCGAACAGG
rnacentral:rRNA from 1 species